rnacentral:lncRNA from 1 species
CCAUUAUUUCUGCAUAUCAGAGACUUUUAGUACUUUCAAUAAUUUACUACUGCUAUCUAGAAGGCAGAGCCAGGUGUACAGGAUGGAACAUGAAGGUGGACUAGGAGCGUGACCACUGAAGCACAGCAUCACAGGGAGACAGUUAGGCCUCCAGAUAACUGUGGGCGAGCCUGACUGAUGCCAGGCCCUCCACAAGAGGUGGAAGAGCAGAGUCUUCUCUAAACUCCCCCAGGGAAAGGGAGACUCUCUUUCCUCGUCUGCUAAGUAGCGGGUGUUGUUCCUUGACACUUUUUGCUACCGCUAGACCACGGUCCGCCUGGCAAUGGGCGUCUUCCCAGAUGUUGGUGUCACCGCUAGACCAAGGAGCCCUCUGAUGGCCCUGUCCAGGCAUAACAGAAGGCUCGCACUCCUGUCUUCUGGUCACUUCUCGCUACGUCCCCUCAGCUCCUAUCUCUGUAUGGCCUGGUUUUUCCUAGGUUAUGAUUGUAGAGUGAGGAUUAUUAUAAUAUUGGAAUAAAGAGUAAUUGCUACAAAUAAUGAUUAAUGAUAUUCAUAUAUAAUCAUAUCUAAGAUCUAUAUCUGGUAUAACUAUUCUUGUUUUAUAUUUUAUUAUACUGGAACAGCUCGUGUCCUCAGUCUCUUGCCUCAGCACCUGGGUGGUUUGCCACCCACAAUUUUCCACAUGCUUCUGGUCUGCGUUCUUUUUUUCUCCUUGCAUCUUCUCAUUCUCUGAUCACCCCAACCUCUCUCUGUCUUCCCUACUCUGCCAGCCUUGAUGGAGACAAGCCCUUGAGACCAGAACUCACCUUUUCCCCAGGUGUGAUAAUCUAUUAGCAAGGUCAGUGUAAUAUGACUGACGGUGAAACGUGUAUUUUUUUCUAUUUAUGCAUUUGAGUACAGUACGUACAAGAAAAAUAAUGGUGUGCUCAAACUGUUAAAUGUUGGAAAAGAAAGAUACAACCCUUACCCAUAUUGUGUAAGUGCCCUGGAGUAGAAGAACCAGCAAGCUCAGACAAAGCACUUGACUGAGAAGACAGACCCUUUAAAGGAAACGGGUUCUAGGGACAAACUCUACGUGGGCCUGUUCUCUUGAUAAGACCGUGAACUCUUUGAGAAAAGAGGCUACUUGUGAAAAUAAUGAGCCCCCUUCGGGGCAGGAGUUCCGGGGUUUGAACCUGCCUUCUUACAUCUUGAGGGCUAAGUGAGUUCCCAAGGCCUCUGUUCAGUGGUUGCUCCGUCAGUGAGCUCAGGUCUGGUGAGUGGCAGGGUCUUCCACCCCCAACCCCACCGGGUGUCAGAGCAAGACACUGUCCCCCAUGGAGCUGGAAUGGGGUGGAGGAGCCCACAUCUGGCACCCACGUGGCCUCCUUGUGACGGACCCACCCUUGCAAUGUUGGAAAGGAAAGUUACAAGUUUCUUUUCCCAAGUUUCCCAGUAGGCUUUGUUCUGUUAGCUUCACGCCUUCGGUCAUUAGCAGACAUAAAUAAACUUUAACCAUUGUUUUUUAUCUUUUUUUUUUUUUUUUGAGAUGGAGUUUCACUCUUGUUGCCCAGGCUGGAGUACAAUGGCACAAUCUCGGCUCACCACAACCUCCGCCUCCCGGGUUCAAACGUUUCUCCUGCCUCAGCCUCCCAAGUAGAUGCCAAGCCUCCCAAGUAGAUACAGGCAUGUGCCACCACGCCCAGCUAAUUUUUUGUAUUUUUAGUAGAGAUGGGGUUUCUCCAGGUUGGUCAGGCUGAUCUCGAAUUCCCGACCUCAGAUGAUCCACCCGCCUCGGUCUCCCAAAGUGUUGGGAUUCCAGGUGUGAGCCACCACGCCCGGCCAACAGUAUUUUCUAAUAACCAGUAUAUUUCCAUAUACAUGUGUACAUGGGUAUUGUGAUUGUUAUCAGGAAAAAAUAUAUUAAAUGGCUGAUAGGAGACCAUGGGACGUAUUUUCUUUCUGCUUUUAAAAAUUAUUCAGGCCGGGUGCGGUGGCUCAUGCCUGUAAUCCCAGCCCUUUGGGAGGCCAACGUGGACAGAUCACCUGAGGUCAGGAGUUCGGGACAAGCCUGGCCAACAUGGUGAAACCCUGUCUCUACUAAAAACACAAAAAUUAGCCAGGUGUGGUGGCAGGCGCCUGUAAUCCCAAUUAGUGGGUUGGCUGAGGCAGGAGAAUCACUUGAACCCAGGAGGUGGUGGUUGCAGUGAGCUGAGAUCGUGCCACUGCACCCCAGCCCGGGUGACAGAGUGAGACUCCAUCUCAAAAAAAUAAAAAAUAAAAAAUAAAAAAUAAAUUAUUCAAUCUUCUUUAUUUUUAUUGUUUUAAUGACUAAAGUUAUUUUUAGUAGAAACAGGGUCUUGCUAUGUUACCCACGCUAGUCUUGAACUCAUUGGCUUAAGCAGUCUUCCUGCCUUAGCCUCCCAAAGUGCUGGGAUUACAGGCAUGCCUGGCUCCUCCACCUUCUUAAAAUAAGCAUUUGUUUUAUAAUUUUUUCCAAGUGUG